UGGGGCCUACGGGACGCAGCAGUGGGGAAUAUUGGGCAAUGGGCGCAAGCCUGACCCAGCAACGCCGCGUGAAGGAAGAAGGCCCUCGGGUUGUAAACUUCUUUUAUCAAGGACGAAACAAAUGACGGUACUUGAUGAAUAAGCCACGGCUAACUACGUGCCAGCAGCCGCGGUAAUGCGUAGGUGGCAAGCGUUAUCCGGAUUUAUUGGGUGUAAAGGGCGUGUAGGCGGGAAAGCAAGUCAGAUGUGAAAACUCAGGGCUCAACCCUGAGCCUGCAUUUGAAACUGUUUUUCUUGAGUGCUGG
rnacentral:rRNA from 1 species